rnacentral:tRNA from 1 species
GCGGCCGUGGUCUAGCCUGGUCUAGGACACAGGCCUGCCACGCCUGUUAGGCCGAGGGGCCCAGGAGACCCGGGUUCGAAUCCCGGCGGCCGCA